GAUUGAAGGAACAUUUCCAUCUAUCUGUUCCAAAUGAGACAUGACCAAAGUCCACCAUGCAGUUACAAAAUACAUUAUGAAUCUGAUAUUAAACAUGAAGAUGAAGUCACUACGCUGAUCCUGUGCAGCUAACAAGUUCUAACAAUCCAUAUCUCCACAUCACACGAUGUGGAGCAUCACACUUAGUUCUUGUCAGUUUCUUUAUCUAGUCUCUUCCUCUUAGCAGAAGUAUUGCAAUCAAGACUAUUUUCGGGUGCAGCACAAUGCCGAGUUGCUUCAGUGACUCGCGUCAGACUUGAUAACCAUAAUGCGUCUUUAAAUAAAUCUUUCAGCUUCUCCAACACUUCAGGAACCACAUGAUUCCCACUCUCAUAUACUUCAAUUUUUCCAA
rnacentral:misc_RNA from 1 species